GUUGUACCUUGUGCACCUUGUGCAUUAGAAGGUUAUUCCAGUAUUAUUGGGAAAGGGGGAUGUUAUACACGUGUCACCCCUGAUUUUUUUUCUUUGCCACCAAACCAAGAACGACAGUAACAAGAACGACAACCCCCGGCGAUUCCGGUCAGCUUCUCCGGCGGGAUUCCACCGGUAACACGACAAAGAUAAAGGUUUGAGGGUUACAAGACCAGAUCGGUGACGAGUUGCAACGUGACGUAAGAAUCAGAGGUUUCGGUGUGCGAUGGUGGUGGUGGUGGUGACCCGUUGGAAUCAAGAUCUCCGGUGAUGGAACAUGUGCGGAAGCUAAGGUUUCGCUCUGCUUCGUCACGACCACGCAGGGGAAAAGAAGGAAGGGAACACUGCUAGAUACAUCACUAGAUCGCAAGCUGUUAAGUAUCUUCAUGUAAGUUUACCCGUUUUCAGGUAGUUAUUUUAAAUCAAUCUAAUGACAGAGAUGGUUAGGUUUAAUAUCGUGAAACCGCCCAAGCCCCUCACCAGUUUGGUUUAACUGUCGGUUUUUUUCUUUAACUUUCGGUCGAUCGGUUUCAAAAAUUUCAAACCGCAGUGAAUGGUUUGGUUUGCGGUGUAUACCAGAAAUUGACCGUGUAAAACUGGACCGGACCAUGAUAUAUGUAUUUAUAGAAUACAUGUUUUUAUUGGGUAUGCUACUUAAAUUUUACAUGAAUAAUAUGGACGUACUUGAAUUAAUACUGAUGUGAGUUGGUGACUAAUGGUUAAACAUAAGUACAAGUUGCCAUGCCAAGUGUGCUUAAUUGAAAUGCAAUAUAGUUGUUGAAAUUUUAUGUGAGCUAUGAACUCUGAAGUUAGAAAUGCUAAAUAUUUAGAUUUGAAGCUUCUGGCCUUUUCAGUUCUUAUUCAUACAACCUACCACUUACCCAGAUAGCAUUUUCUAACUCAUUAUGUAUAUCGUUAAAUCCACUAUUUGUUAUCCUUUGAAGGUUUUUAACUCCAUGUGGCGGGUGUUGACCUGUUGUAUCCCGGCGGCUCCGGCCGUCUUUGGCGGGUAGCAGAUUUACCCUGUCGUUGUCGGCGGCUACGGCCGUCUAUGGUGGCGGCGGAAGGUGAUGAUGAUGAGUUGGGCCGCGGUGCAUUUACCCCGUAGUUGCCGGAGGCUACGACCGUCUAUGGUGGCCGCCGAAGGUGAUGAUGAUGAGUUGGGUCUCAUCUGAGCCUCCAUGGCUACACAACCCUAGCGGCGGCGACUAUGGUUCCGCAAUAUUUGGUUUCAAGGCCAACGGACAUACUGAUAAUCGAUGACGAUGAUCCAAAUUUCAUCUGAGAUUAUCAAAAUAGGGUGGUGAUGAUGAUAGGAUAAACCAUAUCUAGAACCUAAUUGCAAAUGUUUUUACUUUUUUUUUUUUUUUGUACCGAAAUCAGUUUUUUGGAGCUGUUGGAGAUUAAAAGUUACAAAAGUUAUUAGAGGGGAAAAAGGGGUGAUGAGUAAAAUCGAGAUGGCCUGUUUGGGUGUUUUGAGAUUGUUAUGGUCAUGAUGAUUAUUUUAUAAGUUUUAUUGUUUUA